rnacentral:rRNA from 1 species
GAUGAACGCUGACAGAAUGCUUAACACAUGCAAGUCUACUUGAACUUCGGUUUGGGUGGCGGACGGGUGAGUAACGCGUAAAGAACUUGCCUCACAGAUAGGGACAACAUUUGGAAACGAAUGCUAAUACCUGAUAUUAUGAUUUUAGGGCAUCCUAGAAUUAUGAAAGCUAUAUGCACUGUGAGAGAGCUUUGCGUCCCAUUAGCUAGUUGGAGAGGUAACGGCUCACCAAGGCGAUGAUGGGUAGCCGGCCUGAGAGGGUGAUCGGCCACAAGGGGACUGAGACACGGCCCUUACUCCUACGGGAGGCAGCAGUGGGGAAUAUUGGACAAUGGACCAAGAGUCUGAUCCAGCAAUUCUGUGUGCACGAUGAAGUUUUUCGGAUGUAAAGUGCUUUCAGUUGGGAAGAAAAAAAUGACGGUACCAACAGAAGAAGUGACGGCUAAAUACGUG